UUGAAGAAAAUGCCCUCUAACCUUAGCCUGGUUGACACCGGACCCUUCUCAGUUGUAACUGAGAGUGGGUCUGGGCAAGCUUCAUUCACAGCCCGUUUCCAAAAGGGGCGUCAACAACCGCUGGUGCUCAAAGGCCUCUGGGCGCAAUUGGAGG